CCCUCAUUGAUGUGGUCUCUGUCAGAGGCGACGGGGGAUGGAUCCGCAGGCCGGGCAGCUGGAGGUGGAGGCCGCGGCGGGGCGACCACUGGUCCACGGACUGGGCGGAGGACGGGGAGGGGAGGGCGAGUCGCCCCCCACCACCACCACGCGCAGGUUCGCGUUGGGGAUUGAUUCCUACCAGUGAAAUUUGCAAGGGAGCCGACCUACAGUUUCAUGUAUAGCUCGAGCUCGAGGCGGAGACAAGGAAGGUCGGAAAAUGAAGAGAUGGGAUGAAGGUGCUCGCACUGAAUAUAUAUAGUAGCUGGUGCACGAGCUUGCAUUCAACCAGUCUAGACUCAACUCCUCAUAUCGGGUGCGGACUGAGAGUUGGAUGCUCUGUGCCAGCAUAUGGAUGUAUUGCGACCACUGUUGCUUCGGCUGUGAGCGGUCCAGGAUUGCAACCUGGUGUCAUCCACUUCCUACUCACAGGUUACCGUAGUGUUAUGUAAAACAUACCCAAGCUCUCGUUCCUUAAAAUUAUCCAUCUAUUAACUGGAUUAUGAAUAAUUGCUCUUGCAAGUGAAUUUUCAUUACGUGAGUUGAGGAGGAUGCGCGGUCUUCAGACUCGGAGAUUUCUGGUUUUUUCAUUUGAUCAUUUCUGCAGAGAUUGUCCUUCUAUGCAUUAUUUGGUAACCAUCUACUACAGAUCAGCUACUACCCUGCUGCUGCCCUUAUGGUGAAUGAUUGAUGGUGCAUGUUUUCCUGUUAGUUUUUGUGUAUGCCAAGUAUGAAUUUUAUCAUUUUGCAUUUCUCCAGCCCUUUCAUUCUCACUGUGAUUCCGUGAGAUGCAUUGUCCAUAGGCAAUGCACUUUCUAAUAAAAUAUGACGGUGACCUUGAAAAGACUAAUUUAUCUAGAUACAAAAACCUGGUGUUUAUGUUCCCUGCUUUUGCAAAUACUCCCUCCGUCCGGAAAUACUUGUCCUAGGAAUGGUUGUAUCCAAACUUAUUUUAGUUAUAGAUACAUCCAUUUUAUCCAUUUUUAGGACAAGUAUUUCCGGACGGAGGGAGUAGUAGUUUAUGGUUGACACUUUAGUCUAUAUCUGUCAUGCACCCAUCUGGACUAUAAAUAGGACCCUCCACCACCACUUGCUAGCAAGUACUACAUCAUACAACAACAGACACCAUGGAUCUACUUCUGCUACUCAUCUCGCUUCUUAUGGUGAGUGCAAAAAUCAUUUUUUAAUUGGAUAGUUUCUUUCUGUGCGAAGGGGAGCCUUGGCGCAGUGGUAAAGCUGCUGCCUUGUGACCAUGAGGUCACGGGUUCAAGUCCUGGAAACAGCCUCUUACAGAAAUGUAGGGAAAGGCUGCGUACUAUAGACCCAAAGUGGUCGGACCCUUCCCCGACCCUGCGCAAGCGGGAGCUACAUGCACCGGGCUGCCCUUUUUUUAUAGUUUCUUUCUGUGCAGCGCAUCCGCAUACAAAGUGCUUACGUCUGUAGUUAGUUCGUUAAUUAGUUAGCUUGGGUGUUCAUGUGUGUUUCCCACGAAUAGCUUAUCUAUGUUGCUCGUUCUGAUGCACGCAGGUCACUGCAGGAUAGGGAAUCUGGCUUGCGAGUUCUGCCGAUGCGGCCAUGACGGCGAUGCCAAACUCUGAGGAGAUACCAAAGGUGUACUGGGAUAAUCUUGUUGUGCUUUGUUUCUGUAUGAUCUAAAACUACAAGGAUCUUGUGGAGUUCAGAUGUUCUGGAAUGAGUACGAAUCUUACUAUAUCUGAACUUGUGAAAUUAGUCCGAGUCUGACAGUGUUGCAACCAAAACCAAAACCAUAGGGAUCUUGUGCAGUUCAGAUGUUCUGGAAUGAGUACGGAUUUUACUACAUUUGAACUUUGUGAGUCUGACAGCCUUGCAACCAAAACCAAAAUUACAGGGAUAUUGUGACAGCCCUCCAACCAAAACUAAAACGAGAGGGAUCUUUUGCAGUUCAAUGCUACCUGUUGUUUGUUGGAAUAUCAGUUAUCUUGUUUGUGCACAAUAACCUGCUUAUCAUGAAAACGUAGAAUAUUUUAGGAUGGGGCAUCAAGUUGGUUGGCAUUUGUUAAGAUCUUCAUGAGAAGCAGAUCUUCUCAGCCGAACUUUUCUUGUGUGUGUGCGAGGAGCAGUUCUACUAUCUCUUCAUGCUUGAACUGAAAGCAAGAGUAGAAGCCCAUGAGAUGAGCCACAAGGAAAAUAUGCAUGAAAAUGGCACAAUCAUGAUUCAGUUUGGUCAGCAAGUACCUAAUUACAAGUCAUCAGCUAGCGAUUCUCCCCAAGAAGUGUUCGGAAUGAGCAAAGGAAGCUUUAAUGAGAAGAAUAUUGAUGUUGUACAAUAGCCGGAAGAUCACAAGAGAUCGACCUUUUGGGUGGUCUAAUACUUCCUAUAUGGGCACAUCGAAAAGCCACUACGUGUCUAUUAUGAGUACUGCAAUUUAGACAUGAUUAAGAAUGGUACUGGAGUUUGCCUAUCUAUCAUGAUUUUUUAGUUCUGCUUAGUUGAUGGCCUCACGUAAUGUGCCUCCAUGGAUGGAGCUUUCCGGGUCUGCCUUGUUGAAUGUUCUACCAUGGAUGGAGCUUUUGCUGAUACCCUUUCUAAAUAGCUGAUAUUUAUUGUACCUCAUCUUCGCUCCUGGUUGGCGGGGAACCCCUCAUGGUCGAGCCCCUAGCCCCCCACCUUAGCAGCUGCCUGGAGAGGAGGAUAGCUCAAGGACAACUCCCAAUGUGCCGAGGAGAUGGGAACAUGUGAGCUUCUUUGUUUCUUUCUUCCUUCUUUCCUCAUUUUCCCAACCUACAAUUUGUUUUCUAAUUUCUCUACAAGUUUUUCACAGGGUAUUUUAGGGUAUAGCUUGAUUUGGCACUAUCGUGAAGUGGGGUAAUUUUCCAUAUUGAUGUGGUUGGUAUGCACAUCCCACUAAGAAGCAAGGCGCAAUAAAAGCUCAUUUUCCAUUUUGCAAAGGUUCCUUUUAGUAACUGAUGCGUCCAUGUUGAUGCAGCUACAACUAUGGUAAUGCAGGUUAUACUGCAGGGUCCAUGAUGCCUUUCUAAGUAAUUUUACCACAGAUAUUGUAGGUGUUGUGUCGCUUAGCAAACUUUACUCCAGUAUAUGCAACUUUCAGAGUUCUAAUUCGUCUGUGUUAUAACAGAUUUGGUUUGAUCAAUUCAAAUUUCUUAUUCAGGCAUGUAUACACAAAUUGCAGGGUGUAUUAGCGGUUAGGAAACUUGCUUUUAGUAUGCAUUAUUUUCAAGCUUCAAGGCGUAUUAUUAUUCAUUUUUAUGUUAGUUGUCUGUACUUGGCUUACAUUUUUGUUUUCAAAUAGUUCUGCCUCUCAAUUUGAUAUUUCUAUUUGCUUUUGCUUAGUAAUAUGAUGUAUUGUUUUCUUGCUCUAGGCCUACUUGUGUUCAAGGUUCAGUUGAUUGUGUUUCUUAAUUGUGUUUUUUAAUGACAUCAACAUGUGGCACUAAUUCCAUUCUGCAUUGUACUGUGAUUUUUCCAAGGAACACCAUUAUGGCAAUUUUUUGCUCCAUUUUAAGUUUCGCUUGGAUCACUGGCCUACUUGUUCUCACCUCAUCAUCAUGGCCUUUCUUAAGGGUGUUCAGGCAUUUUGUCCUUCUGUAAUUAGUGGCAUUAAAUUAGUGGUCUUCUAUUCGUGUUGCGAACCCCAAUAUGGCAUCUCACCAUUCCCCAUGUUAACUGUGGAUUUAUUUAAUGAUAAUAGGAUAUCAAUUGCCUUUUCUUUAGGAUAAGCCGACGCCUAAUAAGGAUCAGGAGAACAACAGAUAUGCUAAGAGACAACCUUUUGGGGUUAAGGAUAUAAACAACAACAGGGCUUAUGAGGCCGAAGAGAGCUCGCGUGGCGUCUUUUGGUUCUUGAAGACCUGCACGUUGCUGGUGGAGUAGAGCAAAAUAAUUUGGAGGCUUUAAAGCUACUACACUUCAUGUAGUUAGGAUCAAUUCUCUGUUUCAGUUUGAAAUAUUCCCCAUUUCCUCCUAUUUGAUUGAUUCAUCUGAUGGACAUUUUGUCAGGCAAAUAAACAAAAGGCAUAAGUAUUGUUACGAGUGAAGCCAUCCAUACUCCCAUAUGGAAUUCAAUAAAUAGAGAAAUGUUAUUGUUCUUCUACUAA